CCCGGGGCUGGAAGUGCCCCGUCCGCCGCCCCGCUGCGGGUUGGAUGUCGGAGCCGCUGGAGCCCCUUGUCAGCCUGGCUGGCCGCUCCACAUGAUGGACUGCGCUCUGCUUGUUUAGGUUUUGUUUCCAGCCACGACAUUCGACCAAAUUAUUCUCCGCGAAGGGCUUUAAAGUUUCCCAAGUGCCUGUGAAAGCCUGGAAACGCUGAUAGUGAUCCUAUUUCUCAGCUGAGUGGCUGCAUUCAGCCCAGGCCAUAUUGAUAUGCAAAACGUUAAGGGUCCCGGUCUAAAGAUGGUUUCUGUCUGCCUUGUGAAAGGGAGCCAUACUUUUUUAAAGCCCAGGCCUUUCUCAAGCCGCACAAUACCAUAUAGACUAUGCCAUUUAAAGCAUCUGAAGCGACCCAAAAUGUAUUGAAAGCUUGCUUUGCAGACUCAUUAAGACUACUCAAUAGGUUCUGGCAAAUACCGUGCCAGGGCUGACCGCGCGGAUUAAGACUUUUGAAGUGUUACACAAACGCCCUGCUUAAACUAAUUGCUGCCCCACGGCUCACGAGGUCAAGUAUUUGUAUUCAUUGCCUCCGAGAGGAGCCACUUGUGGGUCUGCCCAGGUGAAGUCUGCACUUCAUGAGCUCAAGACAAUAAAAGCAGCUCCGGAGCGGAAGGGGGACGCCCUAGCCCUUGCUCCAAGAACCGGUGAAAACCGACAGUCAUCCCCAAUCUGGCGUCCUCCCCUCGUCCCCAUUCCCAAGGUUUCUGCUCACCAGCCGCGUCCGCGGAGGGGAAGCGAUCCAACCCCCCCGCUCCGCCGAGGGCGCUUUGCUCAGAGCAACGAAAUUCCCCGCUUUCUGGCAAAAGCAGCUCUCAAUGGUGCUGUGAUCAAAGCCGGGGCUGAGUGACGGCGCCGCUGAAUGCCACCGUCCUCCUCCUCCUCCCGAGCCGGCCCCGGCCCCGCUCACAACAGCUUUCCCAGCUUGAAACUCUCCCGUCUGUCAACUCGGAUGACAUGGUCAGUGCCGGGGCUCCCUCCGCU
rnacentral:lncRNA from 1 species